rnacentral:lncRNA from 1 species
UUGCCUCUUGUGUUGGUGAUUUCAAACCUGAAUCCUCUUAUGGGGACAAGGCCUAUGGGAGGAGAUGCAUGGAUGGAGAAUGGUGGGCUCUUGUUAGAGUCUUUCCGAGGGCAGGUCACUCAUUUUGGACCUUCUGAUUGCAUCUGUAACCCUAACAACCAUGGCGGCACUUGCCCGAUUCACUAACAUUUUCUCACCU